GGUGGAUACUGUCUGGAGAGUAAGGAACUCUUAUAAUGACUGAGAUUUUCAGGCCUUUGAGCCAAUAGGGGUGGAUGUAGUAGCCAGUGGGGAUCUUUCACUUGGGUUGAGGGAUUCCUACUAACUCUCAAACCUCUCAGAAAAGUAUGUUGAGGUUGAGAGUGAGCUUGGGAGCUGAGAAGAAGUUGAAUCUAAGAAUGGGAUCUCUGAUUUGGUUCAAGACCUCCAUUAUUAGCACAAUUCCCUAGUGGCCACUUCUGGAGACUAACUUCAGUGUGAAGCCUAGCAUAUGUGGGCCCCAUUACCAGAACAGUCUAGGCAGUCAGUUCUUGAAAUAAUUUUGGUUCUGAUGGUGGAAGGUGAAUAGCCCUGGGGAUGGUAGCUGUGUCGGGACAGCAGAGAACAGUACACAUCAUGGGGUGCUUGUCUAUUCAUUGGUUUGUAGAUGGAUAGAAUCUGUCCUAUCUCUUCUUUUGCACCUCAGAACCUAGAGCAUGUAGUUCUGCAGUCUGGCUGAAUCAUCCUCCCCCUCUCUCCUCUGCAAAACCUUCCCGCAAACCCCUUGCUAAACUGUUGUGUAUAUAACGUCACUUUUUUCUAGAUUCAUUUUUUACUUUGUGUUAUUGUUUAUUAAUCUAUUAAUUGCUUCCAGACUUCAACUUCAUUGUUAUUAACUAUUGUGCAUUUCAAUGGUAUUUAGUUCCCUCAUCGUUGGUAUUUAUCGUUUUGCCGUCAAUUCCCUAUUCCCAGCUGUUGUUUUGAACUAGCGUUAUAUAUUAUUAUGUUUCUUCAUUGCCUCUUUUCUCUGUCACAGCUGACUGCUUUUUUACCUCUCCCUCUGUGGACUUUCCUACUGUUCUCCCUCUCAGAGCUGCUCUGCAUACUUUGCUGUGCCUCCCUCUGUUCACUGCCCUUCCAGUAAAAUGCGCCAUACUCUUCAAUUCCCCAUCAUGUUUUCUCUAAUAGCUUUCUCUGUGGCCUUGGGGGCAUUUUAUGGUGCAUGUAUUUAUUCCCUAGGGCACAGCCAAGGUCCCUUUCCCUCUUUCUCAGAUAUUUCUGAUUCAAUUCCAGUCUCACCAGAACCUUCUCAUCAACGGUUCCCAACACUCCCACUCCCAAGGCUGACCCUGCAGCCUUCUUUCUGCUUUGGACUGAGGUUUCUGCUCUGAUUUUCACCUUGCUGAUUCCCAGCCUUUCUAUGUUUUCUGAUUUAAUAAUAUUCUAAACCCAGCCUAGACUCUUAUUCUAAAUACAUAAUAUUCCUUCUCUCCCCACAGCAAAAACUCUCCUACAUGUAUUUUUCCCUCUAGCAUUACAUACUAAUAUUUAUUGAACAUUGACUAUAAAACAAGCUUAAGAAACCAUUGUAAGAGACUUUCAAUGUAGUAUCUCCUUUAAUCUCAGCAAGGACAGUAGUAAUUCUGUGAGGGAGCUUUUACUCCUGAUGGGGAAACUGAGACUGAGGGGGUGAAAUAUUUGUCCUCUCUUACAUGUUCGUAAGUGGUGGUCUGGGAUGCCCAUCAGCUCUGACUCCAGAACACAAAAUCUUGACCACCAGCCUCUGCAAAGCCCAUGGACAGCAGCUGCCUUGAGUGGCUGAGGGCAGCAUCUGCCUCUUCUUGGACCCUGUUACUAGCAGUUUCCCUGUCCUAGUGAAGGAGUUGAACCCUCAUUUUCUACAGCUCUUUGGCUGGCAUUUUCUCUCUUUACACCACUCUGUUAAGAAUAUUCCAUCUGUUCUUUAUCCACCGUGGGGAGGAGAGCUGUCUGGCAGCAGAUAGUAGGUGCAGAUGUAGGCAGCAGGUGGCCCAAGGAGUCUGUCACUGAGCAGUAGGAAGUCCUAGGCUGGUGAUCAGGCAAAUCUGUGAAAGGACUUGGGGAUACAAGGACCCAGUCUCGAGACAUUUGGGGCCUCAGGCUGGGGUCUAACAUGGAAAGUCAGGCAGUGGAUUAGCAUUGAUGUAGAUGCUGGAACUGGGGCACAAAGUGAGCUUGUUCACUAAAGCAAAGGCCAGAAACGUGGACUGGGUCCAAGGUUAGAGUGACCUGAAGUGGAGCUGUGGUCUGGAAUUGGUCAGGGGCAGGUGAGAUUCUCUUAGAGGUUGUGACCGUGGUGUGAUAUGAUGAGGCCUUAGAAGGUGGUACCAGGCAGGGAGAAUAGGUUUGAAUAUGAGAGAUGCUCUGAAAGUUGGAUGGGGCACUGUGAAUAAGAGUGUCUUGCAUCAUUCCUGAAGAAUCUCUGAUUGGACCCAAAUUGUGAUUUUGAUUUUUUUGAUUACUUUUCUAUCAAUGAGCCAAAAACUCAAAUUGGUUUAUCUAAAAACAUGUUAAAAGCAGUGAUUUGGAUGAAGCUAUAUUCUUGUUUGGAGAGUUGCAAUUAGUUUUAAGUACUUAGGCUGCUUCUAAGGGUGGUACUGCAUUAACAGGUUAAAUAACCAGUAGCUUGGAUGGCUAUUUGCAGAAAAUAUUUUGUUUCUUAUGUGGUAGGAAUCAUUUUUCCGUAGUCGUGAAAAAUUACACUGUGUUAUUCAUGUCUUUUAUGGUUGCCCUGUGGCCAAGUGCUGGCUGGAGUUAGAGGUUUAGUCUGUGGCCAUGAGACCAAAACCUUUCCUGACCCAUCCACUUUAAUGAGUCCCCCCACCCCCACCCCGAUUUUCCCCAGUACUUGUUUCUCCAACAUGAUGGAAGUUAGCAGCAAAUACCCUCAGAAGGUGACUUCUGUUGGGUCCUGCCUGUAUUUUCAGGAGGUACAGGCCUCCCUUUCCUGUGGCAGGGUUGGUUGCUAACAGCUGAGCUACAAAACCGCGCCCCCCCCCCCUUUUUUUUGUCUUUUGGUCUUUUCUAGGGCCACACUCAUGGAGGUUCCCAGGCUAGGGGUCUGAUUGGAGCUGUAGCCUCUGGCCUGUGCCAGAGCCACAGCAAUGCAGGAUUGAUCUGCAACCUACACCACAGCUCACAGCAAUGUCUGAUCCUUAGCCCAGUGAGCGAGGCCAGGGAUUGAACCUGCAACCUCAUGGUUCCUGGUCGGAUUCAUUAUCCACGGUGUCAUGAUAGGAACUCCUGCCUCCCUUUUGAUAGAAUUGCAUGUGCUCCCUCGCUGGCCCCCAUGCACCCUGCAGCCAAAGGUUGACUGGUUUGGGGCACAAAAGACUGGUGAUGGCACUGAUUUUGUGGUGGAGUUUCUGCUCCAGAUCUCCCUGUGGGAUCUCCUUCAUACACUUUCUCUGUCUAUCAACCAUGAGCACUCAAAUCCUGGUCUCUGGUUUUGCUUUGACUUAAGGCAUUUGGAUAGAAGUGUUAGAAAUGGAAGGUGCCCAUCAUCCUAUCUAGAGAGCAGGACCUGUCCAAGUUGGUGCCAAAGUCACACAAACUGACUUGAAGCUACUCUGGUUUGAUCUGAGACAUCCAUGGGUUCCUUCAUGGGGGGAGGUGAAAUUCAUUCAGUUUUCACUCCGAGUUUUAAGUUUCAAAAAGCCUUGAUAAAUUGGGAUUCUGUUACCAGGAGGGCUAAUAUUAAGAUGAUAAAAAUAAUAGUUAUCAUUAUUGAGCUCCUGAUUGUGUGGGUGCCAAGCAAUGUGCUUGAAAUUUAUCUCCAUAAUUCCUUUAAUGCCUAAAAUAAUUCAUGCUAGGUGAGUGUGGUGGGGAUGGCUACCAUCUCACUAAAAUGCUCAGCCUGCUGGGCACAGUUAUAGAACUGGAGUGAGGCGUUCAGUGAAAGACCACAUUUCCCAGACCUCUUCCAGCUGGAUGGUGCCUGUUGCUAAGGUGUGUUUCAUGUAGGCUCUUCCUUUUUUGCAAGGAAGCUUCUACCAUGAAGACUAGGGUAAUACCCUAGGGAAUCACAGAGAAAUAUGCUGGAGAGAAUCUCGCUUUCUGUUCCAUGUGUUUGAGGAACAGCAUUUUCUACUUAAGAUGAGGACAUUUCUAUCAGGUUUGAGCCAUUGUGUUUGGGGCAUUUCUUUAUUACAGCAGUUUUUCCUUACUCUAUAAUAUAGUAAACAUUAUCCCCAGUUUAUAAACUAAGAAACUGAGGCACAGAGAAAAUAGGUAACUUUCCCCCACAGCAAUAUCAAGAGUGUGGAUUUGAACCCAGAUAUUUCUGUUCCAAAGGCUUUUGUGAAUUAGUUUGUCAAAUGUUUCAGUUCCUUAGAAAAUGGAUUUUAAGCCAGGUGGCAGGACUCUGUGACUCUCUGGGCACUGCUCUGGGCUGGGCACCCUCAGUGAGCACUGAGGUUAUUCAGGGAGGAGGGACCUACUUCUGCCUUUUUGGACGGAGUGUCACCUAUAAGACACCUAAAGCAGCCCUUCUCAAACUCUGCAGUGCACAUCAGUCACCUGAGGGUCUUUUUAGAAUGUAGAUUCCUAUUCAGGAAGCCUGGGUUGAGGUCUGAGAUUCUGCUUUUUCAUAUGCUCACAAGUGAUACCCAUGCUGCUGCUCUGGGAACCACACUUGGAGCAACAAGAAUCCCUGAGGUUGAGCAUCUUAGAGUUCAAAGACCAAUUCCCCUGGUGUUUAAAAUAACCAUUCUGUCUGUACACUCUCUGAAUUAAAAAACUCCAAUUCCCAGAGUGCCUUUCAGAGAAAGGCCUGGUCAUGAGGACACUCAAAUUGUACCUUUUGACCAGUUGGAAUCACUGACUACGUGGAUUUUGCUGGUACUGGUCUGCAGAUGAUAGGAUUUUAUAGUCAUGAGAUGCAGUGGUAUGCUAUAGAUCAAAUAUUUUUCACUUGUUUGACUCUAAUCUAUGGGGAAGGGGUGAAAUGGCCAAUUGAUUAUAAUUCAUAAUAUAAAAAGAUCAAAGUCCUACAGCACAUAGCAGCAGUGCUGUCUGUAGAAAAGGAGCAGGAGCUCACGGGAAAAUGUUCAUGUAAUAUAUGAGGCAUUAAAAAUUCUGUUACAUUAUUCUUGCCACCAAGAUUGUAAUGAAAAUGGGAAACAGCACCAACUUAACCCAUUCUCAUUACAAUCGUUAGAUUGUAAUCUCAUGUUCUCCCCUCAAGAGGAUGCUAAAUGAGAUUUUAAACAAAAGAGAGGACAGAGAAGUAUGGAGAAUAAAGGAGCAAAUAGAAAUUGGAAAGUUAAAAAAGUGAUGCAUGAUAGACUUCCCUGUGUUCGUCUGAGGCUUUCUCUUUACUUUAGAAACAAGAACGAGAACAGAGCCUUGCAAAGACCAAUUUAAGCCAUGCAGGAAAUCCAUAACACGACCCAAACCUGGUAACUGUUUAAAACAAAAAGGGAAAUGACAGGCAUAAAUUUGCUCUUACUCUUUAAUAGCUGAGUUCGUUUUAGAUUAUAGAAAAAACAAUGU
rnacentral:lncRNA from 1 species